UAGCCAUGCAUGUCUAAGUAUAAACCAAUUUUAUAGUGAAACUGCGAAUGGCUCAUUAAAUCAGUUAUAAUUUACUUGAUAAUUUUAUACCAGUGGAUAACCGUGGUAAUUCUAUGGCUAAUACAUACAUUAAAGGGCCUUACUAUGUAAGGCCUGUAGUUAUUAGAUAAAAAACCAAUGCAUGCAAAUGCUUAUUUGGUGAUUCAUAGUAAACUUACAGAUCGUUGUCUUCGACGACGUGUCAAUCAAAUUUCUGCCCUAUCAACUGUCGAUGGUAAGGUAGUGGCUUACCAUGGUUGCAACGGGUGACGGGGAAUAAGGGUUCUAUUCCGGAGAGGGAGCCUGAGAAACGGCUACCACAUCCAAGGAAGGCAGCAGGCGCGCAAAUUACCCAAUCCUAAUACAGGGAGGUAGUGACAAUAAAUAACAAUCCAGGGCCCUUAUGGGUCAUGGAAUUGGAAUGAAUACAAAUUAAAACUCUUAAUGAGGAACCAUUGGAGGGCAAGUCUGGUGCCAGCAGCCGCGGUAAUUCCAGCUCCAAUAGCGUAUAUUAAAGUUGUUGCAGUUAAAACGCCCGUAGUCGAAUUUUUGGGAGAAUGGGGAUUUGAAAGGGUUUUAGCUUUUAGUUAAAUACUUUUUCUUUUUCUUGGUCUCUCAUUUUAUAUUCCUGGUCUUUGGGCUUAGUUGGUACUUUACUGUAUUGAUUAAGUCAUUUCCUUCGGGUGGGCCAGGAAUGAUUACUUUGAAAAAAUUAGAGUGUUCAAAGCGGGCUUUUUAAGCCGAAUACAUUAGCAUGGAAUAAUAAAAUAAGACUAUGGUUUUAUUUUGUUGGUUUAUAAAACUAAAGAAAUGAUGAAUAGGUCUGGUUGGGGAUAUUAGUAUUUCUUAGUCAGAGGUGAAAUUCUUGGAUUUAUGAAAGACUAACUUCUGCGAAAGCAUUUAUCAAGGACAGGCUCAUUGAUCAAGGACGAAAGUUGGGGGAUCGAAGAUGAUUAGAUACCGUCGUAGUCUCAACCAUAAACUAUGCCAACUAGGGAUUGGGGCUGAUUUUAUCAGUCUCAGCACCUUGUGAGAAAUCAAAGUUUUUGGGUUCUGGGGG
rnacentral:rRNA from 1 species